rnacentral:rRNA from 1 species
AUGAAGAUGGCGGACGGUGAGGAGCUCGACGUGUACGGCGGGAGGCUCGCGGCGAUGGCGGCGAGGUAUGCCAACCUCGGGGAGACGCUGGGCGACACGGAGCUCGUCAAGAAGCUGCUGGUUACAGUGCCGGAUCAGCUCUUCCCCGUCGUCGCCGGCAUCGAGCAGUUCCACGACGUGACGACGAUGGCGUUCGACGAAGCGCUCGGGCGGCUGCGCGCGUUCGACGAGCGGGUUCGGCGCCGUGGACAAGACGGCGGCGAGCGUGGCGGCGAUCAGCUGCUGCUGACGAUGGCGUAG